AACGUAGGAGACAAACGUUAUCCGGAGUUACUGGGCGUAAAGGGCGUGUAGGUGGUUUCGUAAGUCUGGCGUGAAAUUUUUCGGCUUAACCGGGAAAGGUCGUCGGAUACUGCAGAACUAGAGGACGGUAGAGGCGUGUGGAAUUCCGGGUGUAGUGGAGAAAUGCGUAGAGAUCCGGAGGAACACCAGUGGCGAAGGCGACACGCUGGGCCGUACCUGACACUGAUGCGCGACAGCAUGGGGAGCAAACAGG
rnacentral:rRNA from 1 species